GACAGAGGGUGCAAACGUUGCUCGGAAUCACUGGGCGUAAAGGGCGUGUAGGCGGGAAGGAAAGUCAGAUGUGAAAUCCCCAGGCUCAACCUGGGAACUGCAUUUGAAACUCCCUUUCUUGAGUACCGGAGAGGAAAGUGGAAUUCCUGGUGUAGAGGUGAAAUUCGUAGAUAUCAGGAGGAACACCAGUGGCGAAAGGCGGCUUUCCUGGACGGUAACUGACGCUGAGAACGGCGAAAGCGUGGGGAGCAAACAGG
rnacentral:rRNA from 1 species